GUCUCCUCUCAGACACCCAACAAAAUUGUAACCAUACAAAGAAGAUUAGCAUUGCCCCUGCGCAUUAUUAUGCACAAAUCGAGAAAUGGUUUUUUUUUGU